ACGGGUGAGUAAUGCCUAGGAAAUUGCCCUGAUGUGGGGGAUAACCAUUGGAAACGAUGGCUAAUACCGCAUGAUGCCUACGGGCCAAAGAGGGGGACCUUCGGGCCUCUCGCGUCAGGAUAUGCCUAGGUGGGAUUAGCUAGUUGGUGAGGUAAGGGCUCACCAAGGCGACGAUCCCUAGCUGGUCUGAGAGGAUGAUCAGCCACACUGGAACUGAGACACGGUCCAGACUCCUACGGGAGGCAGCAGUGGGGAAUAUUGCACAAUGGGCGCAAGCCUGAUGCAGCCAUGCCGCGUGUGUGAAGAAGGCCUUCGGGUUGUAAAGCACUUUCAGUCGUGAGGAAGGUGGUGUCGUUAAUAGCUGCAUCAUUUGACGUUAGCGACAGAAGAAGCACCGGCUAACUCCGUGCCAGCAGCCGCGGUAAUACGGAGGGUGCGAGCGUUAAUCGGAAUUACUGGGCGUAAAGCGCAUGCAGGUGGUUUGUUAAGUCAGAUGUGAA
rnacentral:rRNA from 1 species